rnacentral:rRNA from 1 species
AAGUCCCGCAACGAGCGCAACCCUUGUCCUGUGUUACCAGCGGGUAAUGCCGGGUACUCACAGGAGACUGCCGACGAUAAGCCGGAGGAAGGAAGGGAUGACGUCAGAUCAGUAUGCCCUUUAUGCCCUGGGCUACACAGGCGCUACAGUGGCAGGGACAAUGGNNNGCAACGCUGCAAGGCAAAGCUAAUCCCUUAAACCCUGUCGUGGUGCAGAUUGAGGGUUGCAACUNNNCCUCAUGAAGGCGGAAUCGGUAGUAAUGGCGAAUCAGCAACGUCGCCGUGAAUACGUUCCCGGGUCUUGUACNANCGCCCGUCGCGCCAUGGGAGUCGGGUUCAUCGGAAGUCCCCAAGCUAACCUGCAAAGGAGGCAGGGGUCGA